rnacentral:rRNA from 1 species
UGGGAGAGUUAGAGUUAAUAAAAAUUAUAAGUGCGUUAGUACAUAAAAAGAAGACAUAGAGGGGUAUUAGACGAAAGUUGGUUUGUAGGCAAUAAAUGUGGCUAAGAGUGUACCUUUUGUAUUAGGGACAGAAUAAUUUUUUAUUAUUGUAGUUUCCCGAAAAGAAAGGAUUUUCUUUGGUUAGCAGAAAGUGUAGAAUAACUGUUGAGACCAGAGAGGAAUAGAUAUUAUAGACGAUUUUUUAGAUAUCUGGUUUUUUUAAAGUAAAUUUAGUUUAUUAUAGGUUUGGGGGUUAAACAUGGGGUUAAGGGCUUAUUAGCUAUAAAAAUACGAGUGGGGAUGAUCUUAUUUGUUGUUGAGGGUUAUAAUUAAAAUAUGGGGGUUUAGUUUAAGUGGGCUUAGAAGUAGCUAUCUGAGGAGUUAGUUAAAUUACUGAUUUGGUUUUAUUUCAUUAAGAAUAGUUUGACGAAUAAAAAAGAAUACGAUUAAAAUUGUUUAAAUUGGGUAAUAAUUUUUGUAUAAGUAGAUUUAUUGGUUAAAUUAAUUAAAGUUGAAGAAAAGGGGGUAUGAAUUCGGCAUUUAUUUAUUUGACUGUUUACCAAAAACAUUUUUUUGUGUUAAGUUACAAAGUAUGGUCUGCUCACUGGUUAGACUGAAGAGCCGCGGUAUUUUGACCGUGCAAAGGUAGCAUAAUCAUUAGUCUCUUAAUUAGGGAAUGGUAUGAAUGGCUGAACAAAUAAGUUUUUUAUUACUGAGAUUUUUGAAUUUGAAAUAAAAGUGAAAAUGCUUUUAUAGGCCUAAGGGACGAUAAGACCCUAUAGAUCUUAACUAGAUUUAUUUAGUUUCAUUGGGGAAAUGUGAGAGUAAGAGAAAUCUCUUGAUGUAGUUAAAAUGUAAUUUUGACCUGAAAUUUGGGGUUUAAAAAAAGUUACCUUAGGGAUAACAGCGUUAUUAUUUUUGAGAGCCCUUAUCGAUAAAAUAGUUUGCGACCUCGAUGUUGAAUUAUGGUUUCUUUUUAGGGUAGUUUUUAUUAUAGGAUGGUCUGUUCGACCUUUAAAUCCAUACAUGAUUUGAGUUCAAACCGGCGUGAGCCAGGUUGGUUUCUAUCUUUAGGAGGGAGUUUGGUGUUUAGUACGAAAGGAUUGGCAUUUAGCAGUAAUUGUUGGUUCGGAAAUUUAUAAGUAAAGA